AAUUCAUUAACAUAAUUUACGAUUAAAAUUACAAUUGUGAAAGUGUAAAAGUUUUGGUAUUUAUAAAAAUAAAUCUAAAAAAGAAGUGAAAUUCCAUUUGAGUUCAUAAAUUUCAUAAAAUAAGAAGCCCUUAGAAUAAGCAGCCCAAAUCCAUCCAACUCCAUCCGCUGCGAGAAUCAACCAAAGGGCUCAAUUAAGGAACAGGCGCUAAUAGCUGCCCUGAAAUCACAGAUCUGACCAUCAACAUAGUUCCUGUAAACGGUAAGUACAUCUACUCUCAAUAAAUCCGUGAACAGUCUCAAACGAAGGCGUGGUAAAUUCGUACAUCGAAAACGUCCCACAAAAAUAAUUAAAACAACGGAAUUAAAACCUCCGUUGCGUAUUCUUUAAACUGUUAGUCCA